rnacentral:rRNA from 1 species
UACAGAGGUGGCAAGCGUUGUUCGGAUUUACUGGGUGUAAAGGGUACGUAGGCGGUUCGGUAAGUUGGAUGUGAAAUCCUAUGGCUCAACCAUAGAACUGCAUCCAAAACUGCCGGGCUAGAGUGUGGGAGAGGAAGAUGGAAUUCCCGGUGUAAGGGUGAAAUCUGUAGAUAUCGGGAAGAACACCAGUGGCGAAGGCGAUCUUCUGGCCCAAUACUGACGCUCAGUGUACGAAAGCUGGGGGAGCAAACAGG